UACGAAGGGGGCUAGCGUUGCUCGGAAUUACUGGGCGUAAAGCGCACGUAGGCGGUCUUUUAAGUCGGGGGUGAAAUCCUGGAGCUCAACUCCAGAACUGCCUUCGAUACUGGAAGACUUGAGUCCGGGAGAGGUGAGUGGAACUGCGAGUGUAGAGGUGAAAUUCGUAGAUAUUCGCAAGAACACCAGUGGCGAAGGCGGCUCACUGGCCCGGUACUGACGCUGAGGUACGAAAGCGUGGGGAGCAAACAGG
rnacentral:rRNA from 1 species